GUUAAAUAUAAUUAUAUUUGAACAUACUUUUCCGGUUGUCCGUGUGGUUGGUACUUUUGCAGGGAGGAAGGUGAGACACUAUGUAUCCACAGAGAAGUAUAACUAAGUCACCUGUUCAGAGCGCAGGUCACCUGAGACAUGCGCACCAGAUGAAAACAGACGCGUUCAUACCUGCCGACAUCGUGCACGUGUUUACAUGGUUCUAUCUACGCAUGCUUCAGGUAUGGGCGCUUGGCGCUGGCCAGACUGGAUGAGGAAGUGAGGCUGAGAGAGAGGUCUGCAGAGAGACAACGGCUACCUGGGACUGCGGCAGGAGAGGACCUUUGGGCAGAGGAGAGAGGUCUGCAGAGAGACAACGGCUACUUGGGACUGCGGCAGGAGAGGACCUUUGGGCAGGUUCCUGCAGCGUGUGUCAGGGUGGAGUUACCUGACCCAUGGAGAAUUACUUCCAGACAGAGGCCUUCAACCUGGACAAGGUGCUGGAUGACUUUGAACAGAACCAAGGUGAGACCAAUUAACCAAUUAGCCA
rnacentral:lncRNA from 1 species